rnacentral:rRNA from 1 species
UAAUCAAGAACGAAAGUUAGAGGUUCGAAGGCGAUCAGAUACCGCCCUAGUUCUAACCAUAAACGAUGCCAGCCAGCGAUCCGGCUGUGUUCCUCAAAUGACACGCCGGGCAGCUUCCGGGAAACCAAAGCUUUUGGGUUCCGGGGGAAGUAUGGUUGCAAAGCUGAAACUUAAAGGAAUUGACGGAAGGGCACCACCAGGAAUGGAGCCUGCGGCUUAAUUUGACUCAACACGGGAAAACUUACCCGGCCCGGACACAGGAAGGAUUGACAGAUUAAGAGCUCUUUCUUGAUUCUGUGGGUGGUGGUGCAUGGCCGUUCUUAGUUGGUGGAGCGAUUUGUCUGGUUAAUUCCGAUAACGAACGAGACUCUAGCCUACUAAAUAGACGUUCCGAUCAUCUCCGUCGGACGUUCUUCUUAGAGGGACAAGCGGCGUUUAGCCGCACGAGACAGAGCAAUAACAGGUCUGUGAUGCCCUUAGAUGUCCGGGGCCGCACGCGCGCUACAUUGAAGGAAUCAGCGUGUGCUUUCCCGUUCCGACAGGAAUGGGUAACCCGUUGAACCUCCUUCGUGCUGGGGAUUGGCUAUUGUAAUUACAGCCAUGAACGAGGAAUUCCCAGUAAGCACGAGUCAUUAGCUCGUGUUGAUUACGUCCCUGCCCUUUGUACACACCGCCCGUCGCUACUACCGAUUGAAUGAUUUAGUGAGGUCCUCGGACUGGCGCUCGGAGCGGCCUUCGGGUCGCGCCGGCGUGCCGGAAAGAUGACCAAACUUGAUCA